rnacentral:RNase_P_RNA from 1 species
UGCGCAGGACGGGCGAUCGCUGGCAGGGGUGGACUCGAAAGAGAAAGCGACUGCGGGAGGAAAGUCCGGGCUCCAUAAAGCAAGGUACUGGUUAACGACCAGGCACUCUUUUCGCGAGGAAAGGGUGACGGACAGUGCAACAGAAAAUAGACCGCCUCCGGGACUUCGGUUCCGGCGGUAAGGGCGAAACGGUGGGGUAAGAGCCCACCGCAUUUUUGGCGACAAAAAUGGCACGGCAAACCCUACCUGGAGCAAGGCCAAAUAGGGGAGCUUAUGGUCUGCUUAGGCCCAAUGCUCCCGGGUAAGGCCGCUUGAGACUUAGGUAACGAAAGUCCUAGAGGAAUGAUCGCCUCCAGAAGGGUAACCUUCUGAAGACAGAACCCGGCUUACAGUCCUGCGCAUUUA